rnacentral:rRNA from 1 species
ACUGGGCGUAAAGCGCGCGUAGGCGGCGUGAUAAGCCGGUUGUGAAAGCCCCGGGCUCAACCUGGGAACGGCAUCCGGAACUGUCAGGCUAGAGUGCAGGAGAGGAAGGUAGAAUUCCCGGUGUAGCGGUGAAAUGCGUAGAGAUCGGGAGGAAUACCAGUGGCGAAGGCGGCCUUCUGGACUGACACUGACGCUGAGGUGCGAAAGCGUGGGUAGCAAACAGGAUUAGAUACCCUGGUAGUCCACGCCGUAAACGAUGUCGACUAGCCGUUGGGGUCCUUGAGACCUUUGUGGCGCAGUUAACGCGAUAAGUCGACCGCCUGGGGAGUACGGCCGCAAGGUUAAAACUCAAAUGAAUUGACGGGGGCCCGCACAAGCGGUGGAGCAUGUGGUUUAAUUCGAUGCAACGCGAAGAACCUUACCUACCCUUGACAUCGUGCGAACUUUCCAGAGAUGGAUUGGUGCCUUCGGGAGCGCACAGACAGGUGCUGCAUGGCUGUCGUCAGCUCGUGUUGUGAAAUGUUGGGUUAAGUCCCGUAACGAGCGCAACCCUUGUCCCUAUUUGCCAGCGAUUCGGUCGGGAACUCUAGGGAGACUGCCGGUGACAAACCGGAGGAAGGUGGGGACGACGUCAAGUCAUCAUGGCCCUUACGGGUAGGGCUACACACGUGCUACAAUGGCCGGUACAAAGGGUUGCGAAGCCGCGAGGUGGAGCUAAUCCCGGAAAGCCGGUCUCAGUCCGGAUCGGAGUCUGCAACUCGACUCCGUGAAGUCGGAAUCGCUAGUAAUCGUGAAUCAGAAUGUCACGGUGAAUACGUUCCCGGGCCUUGUACACACCGCCCGUCACACCAUGGGAGUGGACUGCACCAGAAGUGGUUAGC